rnacentral:lncRNA from 1 species
UGGAGACAGACAAGGUCAGAGGUAAAGCUGGUCUCACCCUGCAAUGACCAAACAUCAGAAGUAAGGCUUUGAAGUAAUGCAGAAGUAGUAAGUAUCCAUUUCUGGUGAACCUGAGUAUUCACCCGAAUAUCUUCACCCGAAUAUCUUCAUAAAAAUAUCCUCCGAGAAAGUCCAUCAAUGUCAUUUGCAAUUAUA